rnacentral:rRNA from 1 species
CUUGCUUUCCAUGAGAGUGGCGCACGGGUGCGUAACACGUAUGUAACCUACCUUGUUCAGGGGGAUAGCCUCUCGAAAGAGAGAUUAAGACCGCAUAACAUUGCAAUGUGGCAUCACAAAGCAAUCAAAUAUUUAUAGGAACAAGAUGGGCAUGCGGAACAUUAGCUAGUUGGUAAGGUAACGGCUUACCAAGGCUACGAUGUUUAGGGGAUCUGAGAGGAUGACCCCCCACACUGGUACUGAGACACGGACCAGACUCCUACGGGAGGCAGCAGUAAGGAAUAUUGGUCAAUGGGCGCAAGCCUGAACCAGCCAUGCCGCGUGCAGGAAGACGGCCCUAUGGGUUGUAAACUGCUUUUAUAUGGGAAUAAACCUUGAUACGUGUAUCAAGCUGAAUGUACUGUAAGAAUAAGGAUCGGCUAACUCCGUGCCAGCAGCCGCGGUAAUACGGAGGAUCCAAGCGUUAUCCGGAUUUAUUGGGUUUAAAGGGUGCGUAGGUGGUUCUUUAAGUCAGGGGUGAAAGACGGCAGCUUAACUGUCGCAGUGCCUUUGAUACUGAA